ACGGAAGGCAGCAGUGAGGAAUAUUGGUCAAUGGGCGGGAGCCUGAACCAGCCAAGUAGCGUGAGGGAUGACUGCCCUACGGGUUGUAAACCUCUUUUGUUUGGGAAUAAAGGAGCCUACGUGUAGGCUUUUGCAUGUACCUUUCGAAUAAGCAUCGGCUAAUUCCGUGCCAGCAGCCGCGGUAAUACGGAAGAUGCGAGCGUUAUCCGGAUUUAUUGGGUUUAAAGGGAGCGUAGGCGGCCUUUUAAGUCUGCGGUCAAAUGUCAGGGCCCAACCUUGGCAUGCCGUGGAUACUGAUGGGCUUGAAUACACGCAAGGCAAGUGGAAUUCGUCGUGUAGCGGUGAAAUGCUUAGAUAUGACGAAGAACUCCGAUUGGGAAGGCAGCCUUCUGGAGUGCGAUUGACGCUGAGGCUCGAAAGCGCGGGUAUCAAACAGGAUUAGAUACCCUGGUA
rnacentral:rRNA from 1 species